rnacentral:rRNA from 1 species
GACGAACGCUGGCGGCGUGCUUAACACAUGCAAGUCGAACGGUAAGGCCCUUCGGGGUACACGAGUGGCGAACGGGUGAGUAACACGUGGGUGAUCUGCCCUGCACUUCGGGAUAAGCCUGGGAAACUGGGUCUAAUACCGGAUAGGACCCUGGGAUGCAUGUCCUGGGGUGGAAAGCUUUUGAGGUGUGGGAUGGGCGCGCGGCCUAUCAGCGUGUUGGUGGGGUGAUGGCCUACCAAGGCGACGACGGGUAGCCGGCCUGAGAGGGUGACCGGCCACACUGGGAGGGCGAUACGGGCCAGACGGCUACGGGAGGCAGAAGUGGGGAAUAUUGCCCAAUGGGCGGAAGCCUGAUGCAGCGACGCCGCGUGAGGGAUGCCGGCCUUCGGGUUGUAAACCUAUUUCAGCACCGACGAAGCGCAAGUGACGGUAGGUGCAGAAGAAGGACCGGCCAACUACGUGCCAGCAGCCGCGGUAA